UACGUAGGGUGCAAGCGUUAAUCGGAGUUACUGGGCGUAAAGCGUGCGUAGGCGGCUAUGUAAGACAGAUGUGAAAUCCCUGGGCUUAACCUAGGAACUGCAUUUGUGACUGCAUUGCUAGAGUGUGGUAGAGGGAGAUGGAAUUCCGCAUGUAGCAGUGAAAUGCGUAGAUAUGCGGAGGAACACCAAUGGCGAAGGCAAUCUCCUGGACCUGCACUGACGCUGAAGAACGAAAGCUAGGGGAGCAAACAGG
rnacentral:rRNA from 1 species